rnacentral:rRNA from 1 species
CGCGCAGGCGGCUGGUCAAGUCCGAUGUGAAAUCUCCCGGCUUAACUGGGAAACUGCAUCGGAAACUGACCGGCUUGAAGGUGGGAGAGGGUAGUGGAAUUCCCGGUGUAGUGGUGAAAUGCGUAGAUAUCGGGAGGAACACCAGUGGCGAAGGCGACUACCUGGCCCAUUCUUGACGCUGAGGCGCGAAAGCUAGGGGAGCGAACG